GGCGCACGGGUGAGUAACGCGUACAUGACCUACCCUGAACAGGGGGAUAGCCCUGGGAAACUGGGAGUAAUACCGCAUGUGCUGAUACGGGUAGAGCUGUGUCAGUAAAGCUGAGGCGGUUCAGGAUGGAUGUGCGUUUGAUUAGGUAGUUGGUAGGGUAACGGCCUACCAAGCCGACGAUCAAUAGGGGGCGUGAGAGCGUGACCCCCCACACGGGUACUGAGACACGGACCCGACUCCUACGGGAGGCAGCAGUAAGGAAUAUUGGACAAUGGAGGGAACUCUGAU
rnacentral:rRNA from 1 species